GAUUGAACGCUGGCGGCAGGCCUAACACAUGNAAGUCAANCGGUAGAGAGGUGCUUGCACCUCUUGAGAGCGGCGGACGGGUGAGUAAUGCCUAGGAAUCUGCCUGGUAGUGGGGGAUAACGUUCGGAAACGGACGCUAAUACCGCAUACGUCCUACGGGAGAAAGCAGGGGACCUUCGGGCCUUGCGCUAUCAGAUGAGCCUAGGUCGGAUUAGCUAGUUGGUGGGGUAAUGGCUCACCAAGGCGACGAUCCGUAACUGGUCUGAGAGGAUGAUCAGUCACACUGGAACUGAGACACGGUCCAGACUCCUACGGGAGGCAGCAGUGGGGAAUAUUGGACAAUGGGCGAAAGCCUGAUCCAGCCAUGCCGCGUGUGUGGAGAAGGUCUUCGGAUUGUAAAGCACUUUAAGUUGGGAGGAAGGGCAUUAACCUAAUACGUUAGUGUUUU
rnacentral:rRNA from 1 species